CCUAACUCAUGGCAUGAAUAUUUUGCUUGAGGGCAGAGGCAAAAUACAUCCUGGUUAAGGUGAUUCUCUUAUUCUCAAUCAAUGUUCCAAAGAAAUAAAUCACUAACAAUUAAUGUUCAUAUUUCAAAAUAGUCUCACAUUAUUUCAUUUGAUCCGUAAGACUCAGUGAGACAGUUAUUGUUAUUAUCCCCAGAUACAGAGGGGGAAACUGAAACUCAGAGUUUAAGUGUUUUGCUUAAGAGUUUCAGAGAGUAUUUAAUGUUCUACUAAAUUAAAGGAGGCAACAUUAAAAUUAAUUUUUAGAAAAUAGGCAGUGAAAAAGGUUUAAAAUAUUGGUUUUGUUGCUUUUGCAGAGUUGGGAUAGAGACAUGUUAAAAUAUCCUCUAUGAGAAAGUAUAUUUAUGUAGAUAUACUCUAAUAGAACCAUUUUCAAAUAUCUUACCUUAGUAACACAAUUUGCAUACUGUUGUCUGUUUAAGAAAAUAUAGUUACCAUUCCUAUGGAAAAAAAUGUUUUCAUACAAGAUUCAUUAAAGGUCAAAAAUAUUAUGAAACAGUGAUCAUAAUUUCUAUUAUACUUUUAGUUUUGGGUGGCAAAUUAUGAGUAGAUAAAAAGAGUCAAGUAAUCUUUCUUUUUAAGAAAAGUAUCAAAAUCUCAUCUACACAUGCCAUGAACUGUAUACCUGCCUGCCCCACCUCAAGGGGUGCCAACUGUCAAUAGGUUCUGGAAGUAGCUAGAGAUGACGUGGAAAUAUUAAAGAAAAACACUUCUUUCCAUGGGAGUCAGUGCUCAUUGCCUCCAGAAAGAUGCCUCUGGGAACGAAGAUCCUCAGCUCACAAACACAAGGCAUGUGUCUGCAGAGAUUUGUUGGUUGAUCCUACUCCAUCCGGUCAGAACCACUGUCCAUCUAAAAGUUGAUGUGAAUAGUCAGCUGCUUAACACUCUAACCCACAAGGUUAAUCAAGGGAAGCUUAGGACACUGGGAAAAGUAUAUCCAAGGAGACAUGAACUAUGGGUAUAAAUGAGAAGAAGAAGGGGCCCAGAAAACAGAGAAACUUCUGAGUACCAAGUUCCUUUGUCUUGAAGAAAAAGGGCUGCCUUGUGCUUCCCUGAAGUAAGACCUGGGCCUGAAAGAGAGUCCUCUGCAAAGAGGAAAACACUAAAACACUAUCUUCAGAGAAAGACAGUUGUACAGCCCAGAAACAUUUUAAUGAACUUCUGCCUUUGGGCACUGACAGGUGGUAAAGCGUAAAACACAAACAGUACAACAAAGAAAUGCAAAUGGGCCUGUUGGCUCACUGGAGCCCACCCAGGAAGCAUUCCCACCCAGCCUGCUACUUUGAAGGUGAUGGAUGGAACAUGGGCUCCUCAGCCUAACCAGACUCCCACUGUCUCAUGGACCACUCUGGGUGAUGGAGUUCUUAUAGUAGCAUCUGAGCAUCUCGUUUUUAUGGUACAGACCUACCAUCUUUUAUAUGCAGGACAGUGUUAGUAGCAUAUUUUUCUUUCCCAGUUUCUGAGUGUCUAGCAUUGUUGAGUGCACUCCUCAAUACACGGGAUUUACGUCCAACAUCUCUCCCCUAACUUCAGAGCAUAGUAUUGAUAGCAGCCAGGGGAUGUCAGAGAAUAUCUUUCUCUAUGUCAAGAGAUUUUUUUUAAAAAAAAACCUCCACUCUAAGAAAUAACUCAGAUAAAUUUGUAAUCAUGACCACCAAGUGCCACCAACAGGAGUUAAUAUUUUAUUUUGUUUUAUUUUAUUUUAUUUUUUUGGUCUUUUGUCUUUUUGGGGCCUCACCUGUGUCAUAUGUAGGUUCCAAGGCUAGGGAUCUAAUCAGAGCUACAGCUGCCGGCCUACACCACAGCCACAGCAAGGCCAGAUCCGAGCCAAUUCUGUGACCUCCGCCACAGCUCACAGCAACACUGGAUCCUUAACCCACUGAGUGAGGCCAGGGGUCAAACCCUCAACCUCAUGAUUCCUAGUCAGAUUUGUUUCCACUGUGCCACAACAGGAACUCCAGGAAUUAAUAUUUUAAAAGCUUGUUUCUGAAGUGAAUUCUCUUUGGUGUUGGUGAAGAACUCAUACAUUGAUUGUCAUGUAUCAGACCCUAAUAUCAAGAUAAUGUCUGUCAUCAGAGUAGCCAUCACAGAUACACUGCUAAGAAAUCAAAGGAAAGAAUAUAGUAAUAAUAGCUUUGAGGGAAAAUUGUGCUUGUAAGUCUCAAUUCCACAAGGAGUUCCCGUUUUGGCUCAGUGGUAACAAACCCAAGUAGUAUCCAUGAGGAUGCCAGUUUGAUCCAUGACCCCAAUCAGUGGGUUAAGGAUUUGCAUUGCCCUGAGCUGUGGUGUAGGUCGUAGAUGUGGCUUGGAUCCUGUGUUGCUGUGGCUGUGGCAUAGGCUGGCAGCUGUAGCUACAUUUUUUUUUUUUUUCUUGUCUUUUUGCCUUUUCUGGGGCCGCUCCUGCGGCAUAUGGAGGUUCCCAGGAUAGGGGUCUAAUCGGAGCUGUACCCGCCAGCCUAUGCCAGAGCCACAGCAAUGCAGGAUCCCAGCCAUGUCCGUGACCUACACCACAGCUCACGGCAAUGCCAGAUCCUUAUUUUAACCCACUGAGCAAGGCCAGGGAUCGAACCCGAAACCUCAUAGUUCCUAGUCAGAUUCAUUAACCACUGAGCCACGUCAGGAACUCCUGUAGCUACAAUUUGACCCCUAGCCAGGGAACUUCCAUGUGCUGCACAUGCAGCCCGAAAAAGCAAGCAAACAAACAAAACUCAAUUCCACAAGGAAAUAGGAAAUACAGUGUUAGCAGAAAGCCUACCAUAUUAGCUGUGAAAGUUACUGAAACUGAAAAGCAAGUCAGAUGGCAAGGUCUGCUGUUGGUGGCAGGUAGACUCUGUUAUAAAUAUAACUAAUAUGGGGUGAAGGAGAGGAAUGUGAGGGAAGCCUCCAGCUGCUAACAUGUGGUGUGGGACUAAUUCAGUACACCCUGAGUUUCAGAUAUCUGGAACUGGAGUAAUGAGAAAGAGAAAAAGAAAGGAGGGAGGGAGGAAGAAAUGAGACAUUGCCUCCAUAUACUUCAUUGCAGCCCUUCUGUCCAGGAGUCCACGGAAACUCCUCAGAGUGAAGCAAUAAAACCAUGAGCUGUUCUCAGCUGCAGAGCAACUGGUCUGAUGGGAAGGACCAGUAGGGGGCCCAAGGUGGUGCCUAGAUAGAGGGAAUGAAUCCUCCUAGACACUAUUCUUGACCUUUGCCAAAGAGGAAGAUAGAGCAUGUGCUGGUCAUUCAGAUAUACUUGAACAAGGAACAGGGCCUUGAACAUGGUACAGGGAAAGGGCUUCUUUUUAAAUUGCUGAUGUUUUGAAAUUGGGGAGGAACUAGAGAUCCUGAAAACAGGAAUGUGCAAUGACAGAGUCAAUUGUCAGGAUUAAGAAAACACAUAUUGGCAGCACAAUUGUUUCUUUUGGUCGAGGGUUUGAAUACCUUGUUCCAGCAUUAACGUUUCAUGAAAAAGGAAGGACUGCUACGUUAUCACGAUCCCAGGUUUCAGAGUCAGCAUGGCCACUAACAUCACUAAGGCCUGAGAUAAGACACAGUGUGCAGGACACGGGCUGUGGUGCCUCAUCUGUGAACACAGGGUUGGGUGAGGGCCUUUCUGAUGUUCAUUUCACCUCGAAGAACCAGUGAUUCUAUGAUUCAUUUCUACCCAAUUCUAGAAAUAGAAGUAUCUAGGUUAAGGAUAAAACAUUUAAAAUGUGGUAAAGUUUUUAAAAUGAUCUCUGAUAGUAGUGCUAAUCUCCUGAACACUUGGAUUCAUGCUACUUAAUUUUUUUUUAAUAGCAGUAGUUUUGUCUGCUGUUGCCUAGUUAAUUGUCUUUCCUUUGGAGAAAUUCAUUUUUUGACAAGAAACAAAAGAACUAACAAAAAGUAAAGAAAUACAAAUUUCUAUUGAUAUUCCAACUUAUGACUAAAAUAAAGAUGAAGUUUCAACUACUUUUUCCAAACUUAAUUUACUUUCUUUGUCUAAAUGGGACUAGCACAGUCAGGUGGAAUGAUUUUUUUUAAAAUUUUUUUCCCCAUUUUUGUGGAUGAAAUAAUUUGAACAUUUAAAAUAUUCUUUAAAAUCUCUUAUACAUAUCUGAUGACAGAAGGAAGUCUAAAUGCUUAAUGGAAACAAUUUGAUGACCAGUGGUCCCCUGCUGCCUUGGACAUGAGCCAUCUUCCAAUAAGUCACUAUAUUUCUACUGGACACAGCUCUCAAGAUAGAAGAGUCCAGCCAUUGUAGGAUGUUCUAAGGAAGCUGAACCCUCAUUCAUCCUUGAGGGGCUUCCCUAGAGCGUUUAUCCCUCAUUCAGGCCCUUGAUCUAUAGCUUGGAGCUAUCUGGUUUUUGACCUUAUGGAAAAGGCCCUUGCAUUUAGAGACAUGGGCCAGAUCUGGACCAGAUGAAAAGGACAGUCUAGCUUGAAAGACUUGGUCCUUCCCACCCUGAUCCGAGAAAAACCUCAGAAUUCGUGAGAGCAGAGACUGCUGACGAGUGGUUUUACUUACACCAUUCCACUUCUCUUACACAACAGAAUAACUCCAGAAUAAUCUGUGACAAAUCACUCACAUAAUGAAGUUGACUGCCCAGCAACACCAAACUCUGGCUCUCCAAGUGGCCAACACAUUUUCAUUUCACCUGUGUCUUUCACUAUAAAACAACCAGAAUGCAGAGCACUGCCACAUACAGUUUAGGUCCCUGGACAGAGCUGCCGUGAACAGAAGUACCAAUGUAUUACCUUGAAUCACACCCAUGUAUGGUGAAGGGUUGGGUGGAAGUGCACCUCAAACCCAGUUUUGCAUCACAAUUAGUUGGAGCUUUGGAAAACACAGGUUUCCAGGCUCCCCUCAACCCAGACAUACCAGAUCAAUAUCUAUCUGGGGGGGAUCUCAGAACAGCACUUUUGAAAAUCCCCUUUUGAGCUCUGUAUGCCACCUGCCCUACGCUAACUCUUGGGCUAGUGUUUGUGAGCCACUGAACCAGAUUAUUGUUCCCAGUAUAACUUCCUAGAAAAUAAAUUGGUUUCAUCUAGAAGUCUAGCCAAGGGAGUUCCCGUCAUGGCUCAGUGGUUAACGAAUCUGACUAGGAACCAUGAGGUUGCAGGUUCUAUCCCUGGCCUCACUCAGUGGGUUAAGGAUCCGCAUUACCCUGAGCUGUGGUGUAGAUUGCAGAUGCGGCUGGGAUCCUGCAUUGCUGUGGCUCUGGCGUAGGCUGGUGGCUACAGCUCCAAUUAGACCCCUAGCCUGGGAACCUCCAUAUACUGCGGGAGCAGCCCAAGAAAUGGCAAAAAGACAAAAAAAAAAAA
ensembl:lncRNA